rnacentral:RNase_P_RNA from 2 species
GAAGUUCGCCAGACUGUCGCUGGUGCAAGCGUGGAAACACCGCACUGGAGGAACGUCCGGACUGCACAGGGCAGCGUAGCAGGUAACACCUGCCCACCGCGAGGUGAGGAUCAGAGCAACAGAGACGAGUCGCCGUGCCCACGGGCAUGGCGGGUGAAACGGGCAAUCUCUACGCGCAGCAAUACCAAGAAGGCAUACGGUGAUCUGGCUCCGGGGAGUAUGCGGGUAGGUAGCAUUGAGCCGCUCGGGUGACCAGCGGCCCAGAUUAAUGGCAGUCACAUGGUCGGCAACGGCCAUGCACAGAAUCCGGCGUACCGGCGGACUUCAAUC